GUUUUGGAUACAGGUAACAUGACACCGACUAUGAUGUACCUUGGCAAAUGUUCACAGGUCGGAGUAACCCUUGUGUACCCUUGUAGUCUUGGACGACCAUACUAAGGUGCCCUUGUCUUUGCCCUUCCAGACGUACGGUUCACCUCCAACCCUCCGUCCAUGGUGGCGGCGGCAGCGGUGGCCUCAGCUAUCCAGGGGAUCCUGCCGAGACACGAGAGCGAGGACGAGAUGGCGGCGGCAGCACCCAUUGCCGUAGCGCCUACCAGGGCGCAGCAGUACAUGCAGGACCUUUACCACAGACUCACCGCCAUCACGCAGAUCGACACUGACUGUCUAAAGGAGUGCCACCGUCAGAUUGAGAACUGGACACAGAACAAUGGCGAGGGUGCCUCUAUGUCUGCAUCCACCACCCCGACAGACAUGCGGGAAGUUAUGUUCUGACAGAAGUACCGACCCGCCAAUCUCCCCGGUAACCCUCGCCGCCUCCCUGCCUCCCACUUCGGGAGCAGUGACUCCCCACUGGGGUCCCCUGGGGUCAGCCCCAACACUGCCACAUCCUGCAGUCGGUGACUAGGGGUUUGUGAAGCCCUUUGGUAUCGACACCACCGGCAUGGUUGUUGCUGUCCUGCCGGUGUUGGUGUGGGGCCUGCCGCCCCCACCCAUCCCCUAAGGGACGGUUGUCCCCACCACGCCUACCAUGUGCACAAGCUAGUCGGGUCGCUAAUUUAUAUCGGAUAUAAAUUGACAUUAGCUAUUGCUAUUGCUACUGCUGUUUUGGACAUAUAUUUGUCCAACAUGAGCGCUCCUUUCCCACUGUAUGUCCCGCGGACACUUGCCACCCACUACUGUCACCACAACUAAGCUUCAUGUUUCCUUAUGCUGCAUAUCUUCCACUUCAAGGUCUGUCUGGCCUGUGGUAAAUGCUGAAGCUUGACAGUAGUUGAAACCUUCCUGUCAAAUCCUUUGGAUAUUGAGUGUGACAUCCAGUGGCAUCUUGCAACUGUAUUGUCUUUGCUGGAGCCCGACAGUUAAAGGAAGUUUCAUCCACAAGUGUAUUUAGUGCCUGCCUGCCUGCCUCCAAGACCAAGCACUCACUCUGGCACAUUCUGCUUGGGCUGGUACAUAUCAAGAUCUUGUUCGCGGGCUUCCUGUAGAUGGGACCAAGAAGCCUUCUGCUGUGGGGCAUUUUCCAUGAGCUGGAAUAUCUCCUAGGAGAUGGAUGUCUGCCAGCCAGACAAUCCAGCAGUUACCUGCCAGCACCAUGGAAACUGAAGCUAUAACAAACCUUGUGUAGCCUCCCGCGUCCUAUGCAUGAUAGGCACCAAAACUGUGAUUCAUUUUCUACUAAUACGAACAUUAUAAAAUGCAAAAAAUAUGUAAAUGAACUGUAAGAGUACUUUUUAAGAUAAAUUUGGAUGUGAUAUAACAUUAGAGUCGACACGUAUGAUUAAGGUCAGAUGACAAGAGUAGGGUAAGAGUGUGAGAUCCAAGAGCACUAUGAUUGGGCAUUAUUGGGUCCAUUUAUUGAACCACACAUGAAGCACCAUCACAUUAUUUUGUUCUUUAGUUUCUUGAUUAUGUUAAAAACAUCAGCCUUUUUGAUACCAUGUGUAAGGCAUAAAAUUUCUUCCAUUUGGUAAACAUAAAAGGUACUGUAGUACUGUGGUGACAAAGUUUUACAAGUGGUCAAUAAGACUCUGUGUUCCAUUAGUGUGCCCAUGAUAGAAAUUCCCCAUGUGUGUUGUUCUUGAUCAGUGUCAAAACUGUUAACAUGCACAUAUUAUGCUUAUUGUGCAUAUUUCUACCAAGCUUUCUGAAAUAUAUUAUAUCUUCUCAUAUGUUGUCCAAGCCAAGAUGUUCUGUUACUCGCACUUCUUCCCAGCUUUACUCUCCACGAGAUACUGUACUGUAUUUACAUGUUAUUCUCUCAUUUACAUAUUGUUCUCUCUUCAGAACCUCACUAUGUACUGUACAAGGCAUUUUACAGAUAUUUACACUUUUUGGUUUCACAAUACAGCACACAAGAUAUUUCCUCAAGAUGGUCAGUGUUAGAAAUAUAUCACAAACAGGUCUGUAAGAUUUUUCUAAGCAGACAACACAAAUCUAAUCUAUUGAUCAUAAAGUAGUUUUGGUUAGGUUAGGAUGGGUUUGGUUGGUUCAUGUUGCUUGAAAAACAAGUGGUUUUCCUGUCCUGUUUGUGGCUUUUUUUUAACACUAAUCAUUUUCCCUGGAUAUUUCAACUUGUCAUUAUCAGUAUACACCGAAUAGUUUCUUGUUAUUCCUCCAUUUCAUCAUAACUUCACAAUGGAUGUUUAUUUGUUACUCCCUUUCCUUAUUAUCACUGUUUACUUUGUCUGAAGUUUAGGUUUUAUCUGUUCCACUUUCCAGUUUCUCUAGUCUUCUUUUAUUAUUUCAGUAAAUCUAGUUUGUCUACAGCGUACUGUUACCCUGAGCAAACCUGCACUGUAAGUUUGUUGUGUUGGGAAGAUGUGCUUAGCUCCCCUUUAUUUAUAAUGAUUUAUUUAAAACUUAUUUAAUGCAUGUUUGCUUUUUUCUUGGGAUUAAGAAUAUGGGUCAUUUUAUGAAGAAUUUUACACUGGCUUGAUAAUGCUUUUAAGAUGUGUUUCCUCAGCAGAAGAACAUGACUCGGUUGAUCCACCUCUUUUAUAUGAGUUAACAGUUUCUGCUUUGGGUAUGAUAGUCCUGCGAGUUUAACAGGGGCGGAUAACAAGACCUUGUUUUGAGUGCUUUGUUUUGCAAGUAUAAAUCUUUGAAAUAUCAUCUAAUGUAGCUAGACUUUUUCUAUAUACAGUAGAUUUUUUCAAGACACUUCAUUCAUUACUUCCUCCACCAUACAUCUGAUAUUGUAUUUUACAUUUAACAACUACUGUACUCAGAUCACAAACAUAUAAGAAAACAAUUCACUUGUAAAUUUCAAGUGAUUCUUUAUUGUUUGUAAAUACUGAUCAUAUUUUGCAGGUGAUUUCUUUAGUUAAAUGAAGUAAUAUUACAUAAAUUAUAAUCCAAAUUGAUGUGUGAGAAAACAUAUCAGCAAUUGCAUUGGAGCCAAGUCAGCCAACAGUAUACAAUAUAGUGAGUUUUGAAAUGGAUUUAUGAUAAUCUGGAAAUAUUUCAAUAUUCAGGAAAAUUCAAAAGGUUGAGAAAAAUUCAUCCAUACAUACAUACAUACAUACAUGCAUACAUACACUUAUAGCAUGAAGUGCCAGUCUACAUAUCCAUCUCCAAACCUCAUAAUGCACAGUUUACUGAAGCAGUGAUCUAAACACCACUCCUUGACCCCCUGCACUUCAUACUUUCAACUUCACGGGUAUUUAAGAAAAAAGAACGUCUCAUUACAAGAUCUUGAUCUGCCCCUGUAUUGGUGCAGCACAUGAUUUACGUCAUCAGGACCAGCUAUAACUCCUUAACUUUUAUUGUUUAUAUAUGAAUUAUCAGACACUAAUUUUGUAUAGAAACAAGAGUGUCUUGAUUGUAAUCAUUAUUCUGUCUGUUAGACACACCUUCAACAUAAUACAGACUUCUCGAGUAACCACUUGUGUUGGUUGACUUUAUUUCUUGCAUUAGAUUUCUUUAGUGAUUGUUCAUUCAUAGCAGUGCCUACUUAUAUUCAGUACUGUACAUCUAACCACUACUCAGUGAGCCGAGGGAAACUAUAAUACUGUUCAUCCUCAAGUUGGGUAGGGCAACGAUGACGAAUUCUUCCCCAAGGCAUGGUAUUUCUUUUAGGGCCUAGUGCUGUACACUUAUUCUACGCUUACUUUACAACAUUAUGCACACUUAUCUAGUGUUGUACAGUUUUUUUUAUGUAUCAUGAAACACUUAGGUAUUGCUUGUAGUCACUUUACAGUACAUGAUAAACUAAUCUACUAAAAUAUGCAUGGGUGGUAAAGUACAAGAAAAUAUUACUGCAAAGCAAAGUCAUGCCUUGCUGUUGUAGCUGGCACUUUUUUUUUUUUGCCUGUUGUUUUCCUUCUCAUUCGUUAUUGUUGUUUUUCCUUUCAAGGUAUCAUGGAUUUUUAUAAGCUUGAAGAUAAGACAACUGAAUUUUUUUUAAUUACAAAAUUUUGAAAUUUGAAUAUACUGUUAUACAAAAACUAACUCAUUUGUGCAACUUGAUCAAGGUUGGCCCAGGAUCAAAGGGAGAGACAUUUUAAAAAGAUUGAACUGAAACUAAUUUUCAGUAUCUUUGAUAGUUGCAUUUUUAUAUUGAAUUUAUUUUAAAAUAUCCUGAUUUCUGUGCAUCAGUUAUUUGCUCCCAAAGAAGUCUUUUUUCUUGCUUUAUAGUCAACAAACAUCUACCAAGCAAUGAAUGUAUGGUCAUUAGAACAGGCCCAAGCUUAACUCAUCUCAAAGAACUGUUCCUGAAUUAGAGCCAAAGUCUCAACCUUAAUUCCUGUUCCUCCUGUGAGAUGUCACAUAUGUCCUUCCUGCACUUACCUCUUUUAAGGUACAGAUGUGUUGAGCGGAAGCAGAAGAUGCGUGAAGCAUUCUUUGUAAGGAAUGUUGGUUGUAAAGUUUUCUAAUAUACAUGUUCCUAGAGGGUUUAAUUUAGGAAUUUACACAGUCCAGGAGGAAAACUUACUUUUCACUAGUUAUACAUACUUUCUUUUAUAUUACUAUGGAAGUAAGGAGAUCAUGGAGUGUUUCAUACAUCUUUUGAUUUGUUCCACCAUCAUGCACCCUAGAGUAGCAUUUCUUGAGUCAGUCAUAACUUUACUGUAGGUGACCAGGGCAAUAUAUGCAGAACAUAUUAAACAAAUUUACCUAUUACAAAAGUACACUGUAUAUUUAUGUGUAAAAUACUAAAAAAAUUCAGAUUUCAUAAGUUAUAGCUUCAUGUGUGCUUUUCUGAUGUAUUAGAAAAGUUAACAUCCUAUGUUAUGUUUGGCUAAGCGGGGAACUGAAAUAACCCUUUUCAUUUUUAUUUAGUUAGUUUGCCUUAUCUGUUGAGUCAAGUUCUGCAUGUACGGGUUCCCUGGGAAGUUCUUCCUAUAUCCCAGGUAUGGUCCAGUCAAAACCAAUCAGAAUCAACCAAAUAAUAGUAAUUGCACUCUCAUUACCUCAUUUCACCUCUUGUCUCCUAUUGUUCUAAAGCCAAGGGAUCAGUCAGCUAUCAUUGUGACAUUCAAUGUCAGGAUGACUUUCUACCCAUGUUGUACCUAAUGAAAGUUCAUAGAAUACAACAUUGAAUAUCAUAAAUUGAUAUGCUACAUUUUAUAUGAAAUGAUUUAAGAGCAUAUCAAACACUACAGUCAGCAACUUAUCCCUUUUGGCUUAGUUAAAUUCAUAUAUAUUUGAUUUUCACUUUACUAUCUGAAUUCAUUAGGCCCCAGAAUAAUCACAAACAAUCAUUAGGCCCAAACAGCAAAAGCUGCCAAACAGUCAAGGAAACAGAGGUAGCGUUCCUGAAACCCGAUGAACUCAGACUCUAAUGUGACUUAAGUGUUUCUACCACAGUGGAUAGUUGAAGUGCACUGAAUAUUUGGUCAGAAUGAAGUGUCAUUAGAGUCUUGGUUCAUCCUUAUGUUCUGGACGCAACCAGAGAGAAGGAGACGUUCAUUCAGUAAUGACGGGAACUAUUGUAGUCAGUGUGAACAGUUUAUAAGCUGUUUCUUUUUAUAUCCUUACUCAGGUUGAGAAUGUAAAAUCUGUAAAUAUUUAUAAAAACUACAAAUAUAUUUAGAAAAGUAAA